AUGAAUUGCUUAGCCUAGAACUGUCGAGGACUGGGGUUGGACUCGACAGUAGGCGAACUUCGGGACCUCAUACGGUCACACAACCCAGCGGUGGUUUUCUUAUCAGAAACAAAGAAGAGUGCGAAGGCUAUGGAGAGAUUGAAGUGAAGACUUGGGUUUAGAAGCGGAGUGGCUGUGGAUUGUAAUGGCAAGAGUGGAGGGCUUGCAUUAUGGUGGAGAGAGCAUAUACAGGUCACUAUCAGGCCAUGGUGCCAGUACUUUAUUGAUGCUGAGAUUACCUCGGAUGGGCAUACUUGGAGAUUCACUGGAAUCUACGGGGAGCCCAAAACGGAGUUGAGGAAGAAGACUUGGGAUGCGAUUAGAUAUCUAAGGUCCCAGGAUGAGCUACCAUGGCUAUGUAUGGGGGACUUUAAUGAAGUUCUUGUGAGAUCAGAACAAAGUGGCGGCAACCCGAGGAGUUUUGCACAAAUGCAAGCGUUCAGUGACUGCCUAGCUGACUGCGGCUUGGCGGACUUGGGCUUCUCGGGCUAUCAGUUUACAUGGGACAAUAAACAUGCAAACUAG
rnacentral:rRNA from 1 species